UGGGGAAUAUUGCACAAUGGGCGCAAGCCUGAUGCGGCCAUGCCGCGUGUGUGAAGAAGGCCUUCGGGUUGUAAAGCACUUUCAGCGAGGAGGAAGGUGGUGAGCUUAAUACGCUCAUCAAUUGACGUUACUCGCAGAAGAAGCACCGGCUAACUCCGUGCCAGCAGCCGCGGUAAUACGGAGGGUGCAAGCGUUAAUCGGAAUUACUGGGCGUAAAGCGCACGCAGGCGGUUUGUUAAGUCAGAUGUGAAAUCCCCGGGCUCAACCUGGGAACUGCAUUUGAAACUGGCAAGCUAGAGUCUCGUAGAGGGGGGUAGAAUUCCAGGUGUAGCGGUGAAAUGCGUAGAGAUCUGGAGGAAUACCGGUGGCGAAGGCGGCCCCCUGGACGAAGACUGACGCUCAGGUGCGAAAGCGUGGGGCAGCAAACAGGAUUAGAUACCCUGGUAGUCCACGCUGUAAACGAUGUCGAUUUGGAGGUUGUGCCCUUGAGGCGUGGCUUCCGGAGCUAACGCGUUAAAUCGACCGCCUGGGGAGUACGGCCGCAAGGUUAAAACUCAAAGGAAUU
rnacentral:rRNA from 1 species